CUCUGUUCAGCUCUUCAAGUGGUUGUGGCUUGGAGUGAUCUUGGUUGCUUCUGGAUUUGUCACACAGUAUUCAUCUUGGGAUAAUAGUUUGAAACUUGUUCAUCUGUGCAGAAAGCUACAACUAAUGAGACUUCGAAUUUGAAGUGCCUGUAAAAGAGAAUUUGGACUUUCAUUUUGAAAAUACAUCUGGAUUUUUCUUUGUUGGGAUCACAGUGGUAGAUGACAAAGCUGUACUCUUGAGAAAUAGGAGAGAACACUGUCAUUCAUAGCUUGUUAUACCACAAACACCGAACUCAACAGUUAUCUCUGGCAAGUCAGUGGACUUCAAAAGUAAAGCUCUGUUUUUAUCCAAAUGAUCCUCACUAA
rnacentral:lncRNA from 1 species